rnacentral:tRNA from 1 species
AGUGUAUCUCAGUUGGCUAGAGCGUAUGAUUUGUAAUCAUAAUGUCGCAGGUUCGAUUCCUGCCACUG